GGGGGGUUAGCUCAGCUGGGAGAGCGCCGCGUUCGCAACGCGGAGGCCGAGGGUUCGAAUCCCUUACCCUCCA
rnacentral:tRNA from 1 species